UACGAAGGGUGCAAGCGUUAAUCGGAAUUACUGGGCGUAAAGGGCGCGUAGGCGGCCUUCUAAGUCGAACGUGAAAUCCCCGGGCUCAACCCGGGAACUGCGUCCGAGACUGGAAGGCUUGAAUCCGGGAGAGGGAUGUGGAAUUCCAGGUGUAGCGGUGAAAUGCGUAGAUAUCUGGAGGAGCAUCGGUGGCGAAGGCGGCAUCCUGGACCGGUAUUGACGCUGAGGCGCGAAAGCCAGGGGAGCAAACGGG
rnacentral:rRNA from 1 species